rnacentral:rRNA from 1 species
ACGACCCUUCGGGAGCCUAUACAGGUGUUGCAUGGCUGUCGUCAGCUCGUGUCGUGAGAUGUUCGGUUAAGUCCGCUAACGAGCGCAACCCUCGUCGUAUGUUAUAUGUGUCAUACGAGACUGCCGGUAAAAAGCCGGAGGAAGGUGAGGAUGAUGUCAAGUCAGCAUGACCUUUAUAUCCCAGGGCUACACACACGCUACAAUGGUCUGUACAAUGGGUAGCCAAGCCGCGAGGCGGAGCCAAUCCUGAAAGCAGGCCUCAGUUCAGAUUGCAGUCUGCAACUCGACUGCAUGAAGCCGGAGUUGCUAGUAACCGCAGGUCAGCAAUACUGCGGUGAAUACGUUCCCGGGUCUU